ACUCCUACGGGAGGCAGCAGUGAGGAAUAUUGGACAAUGGGCGGGAGCCUGAUCCAGCCAUGCCGCGUGCAGGAAGACGCCCUAUGGGUUGUAAACUGCUUUUGUACAGGAAGAAACACUCCUCGUGAGGAGCUGUACGGUACUGUAAGAAUAAGGAUCGGCUAACUCCGUGCCAGCAGCCGCGGUAAUACGGAGGAUCCAAGCGUUAUCCGGAAUCAUUGGGUUUAAAGGGUCCGUAGGUGGA
rnacentral:rRNA from 1 species